rnacentral:rRNA from 1 species
GUGGUUGUAACGAGUACAGAGAAUCAGGGUUUGGUUCUGGAGAGGCCGCCUGAGAAACGGCGACCACUUCCAAGGAAGGCAGCAGGCGCGCAAAUUACCCACUCUCAAAAUGAGGAGGUAGUGAAGAGAAAUAACGAUGUUAGUCUAUUAUAGGCUGACAAUCGGAAUGGGAACACUGUAAACAGGUUAUCGAUUAACAAUUGGAGGGCAAGUCUGGUGCCAGCAGCCGCGGUAAUUCCAGCUCCAAUAAGGAAAACUAAAGUUGCUGUGUUUAAAAAGCUCGUAGUUGAAUUUCGGGUAUUUGUUGCUAGCUGGUCUAACUGGCCAUGUUGGUUAACAGAUCCUCAUUUGCUGGACGGCUGGCGAUGAUCUUUAUCGAUUGUCGUCAGUUGCCAGAACGUUUACUUUGAGAAAAUAGAGUGCUAAAAGCAGGCUCACGCCUAUAUAUAUUGCAUGGAAUAAUGAAAUAAGAUCUCGAUUUUAUUUCGUUGGUUUUAGAAAUUGAGAUAAUGAUUAAUAGGAUCAGAGGGGGGCGUACGUACUGUGGUGUGAGAGGUGAAAUUCUUGGAUCGCCACAGGACGAACAGCAGCGAAGGCGUUCGCCAAGAAUGUUUUCAUUAAUCAAGAACGAAAGUUUGAGGUUCGAAGACGAUUAGAUACCGUCCUAGUUCAAACCAUAAACGUUGCCAACUGUCUUUUAGAUGCGGUUAUUUAUAUGACUCAUCUGGCGGAUCUCGAGAAAUCUAAGUUUUUAGGUUCCGGGGGAAGUAUGGUUGCAAAGCUGAAACUUAAAAGAAUUGACGGAAGGACACACAAGAAGUGGAGCCUGUGGCCUAAUUUGACACAACACGGGAAACCUUACUCGGCCAGGACACUUUUAGGAUUGACAGAUUGAGAGCUCUUUCUUGAUUAGGUGGGUGGUGGUGCAUGGUCGUUCGUAGUUCGUGGAGCGAUUUGUCUGAUUAAUUUCGAUAACGAACGAGACUCCGGCUUACUAAAUAGUCUAAAGUUCGCAGGGACUUUUCAAGACUUCUUAGCAGGAUAAGUGGCACUUUUUAAGCCACACGAAAUGGAGCAAUAACAGGUCUGUGAUGCCCUUAGAUGUCCGAGGCUGCACGCGCGCUACACUGGAGAGUUCAGAAUGUUUCUUCCUACUUCGACAGAAGUGGGUAACCAUGAAAUUCUCUUCGUGACUGGGAUCGGAGCUUGCAAUUAUUCUCCGUCAACGAGGAAUUCCUAGUAAGCACUAUUUCAUCAGAAUGUGCUGAUUAUGUCCCUGUCCUUUGUACACACCGCCCGUCGCUACUACCGAUUGAAUGUUUUAGUGAGAUCUUCGGCUUGGUUUUCCGAGCGGCUCUCGGGUCGUUCGGUUUAUGUCGAAAAGAUGCUCAAACUGGAUCAUUUAGAGGAAGUAAAAGUCGUAACAAGGUA